rnacentral:rRNA from 1 species
GAUUAGUGGCGAACGGGUGAGUAACACGUGAGUAACCUGCCCCUUACUUUCCUGGAUAACUGCUCGAAAGGGUAGCUAAUACGGGAUAUUCUGACCUGCCUGCAUGGGUUGGUUUGGAAAGGUUGUUUUUCUGGUAAGGGAUGGGCUCGCGGCCUAUCAGCUUGUUGGUGGGGUGAUGGCCUACCGAGGCUUUGACGGGUAGCCGGCCUGAGAGGGUGGACGGUCACACUGGGACUGAGAUACGGCCCAGACUCCUACGGGAGGCAGCAGUGGGGAAUAUUGCACAAUGGGCGCAAGCCUGGUGCAGCGACGCCGCGUGAGGGAUGAAGGCCUUCGGGUUGUAAACCUCUUUCGUCAGGGAACAAGGCACUGUCUUUUUGGUGGUGUUGAGGGUACCUGGAUAAGAAGCGCCGGCUAACUACGUGCCAGCAGCCGCGGUAAUACGUAGGGCGCAAGCGUUGUCCGGAACUAUUGGGCGUAAAGAGCUCGUAGGCGGCUGGUCGCGUCUGUCGUGAAAACUUCCGGCUCAACCGGGGGCUUGCGGUGGGUACGGGCCGGCUAGAGUGCGGUAGGGGUAACUGGAACUCCUGGUGUAGCGGUGGAAUGCGCAGAUAUCAGGAAGAACACCGAUGGCGAAG